rnacentral:rRNA from 1 species
UACGAAGGGGGCUAGCGUUGCUCGGAAUCACUGGGCUUAAAGGGCGCGUAGGCGGGCUCGCAGGUCAGGGGUGAAAGCCCACGGCUCAACCGUGGAAGUGCCUUUGAUACCGUGAGUCUCGAGGGAGGUAGGGGCGUGCGGAACUUCCGGUGGAGCGGUGAAAUGCGUAGAUAUCGGAAGGAACAUCGGUGGCGAAAGCGGCGCGCUGGACCGCUUCUGACGCUGAGGCGCGAAAGCCAGGGGAGCAAACGGG